GGACAUGGCGGCAUGCUAUACAUGCAGUCGUACGCUUCUUUUUCCCCGGAGCUUGCUCCACCGGAAAAAGAAGAGUGGCGAACGGGUGAGUAACACGUGGGUAACCUGCCCAUCAGAAGGGGAUAACACUUGGAAACAGGUGCUAAUACCGUAUAACAAUCGAAACCGCAUGGUUUUGAUUUGAAAGGCGCUUUCGGGUGUCGCUGAUGGAUGGACCCGCGGUGCAUUAGCUAGUUGGUGAGGUAACGGCUCACCAAGGCCACGAUGCAUAGCCGACCUGAGAGGGUGAUCGGCCACAUUGGGACUGAGACACGGCCCAAACUCCUACGGGAGGCAGCAGUAGGGAAUCUUCGGCAAUGGACGAAAGUCUGACCGAGCAACGCCGCGUGAGUGAAGAAGGUUUUCGGAUCGUAAAACUCUGUUGUUAGAGAAGAACAAGGAUGAGAGUAACUGUUCAUCCCUUGACGGUAUCUAACCAGAAAGCCACGGCUAACUACGUGCCAGCAGCCGCGGUAAUACGUAGGUGGCAAGCGUUGUCCGGAUUUAUUGGGCGUAAAGCGAGCGCAGGCGGUUUCUUAAGUCUGAUGUGAAAGCCCCCGGCUCACCCGGGGAGGGUCAUUGGAAACUGGGAGACUUGAGUGCAGAAGAGGAGAGUGGAAUUCCAUGUGUAGCGGUGAAAUGCGUAGAUAUAUGGAGGAACACCAGUGGCGAAGGCGGCUCUCUGGUCUGUAACUGACGCUGAGGCUCGAAAGCGUGGGGAGCAAACAGGAUUAGAUACCCUGGUAGUCCACGCCGUAAACGAUGAGUGCUAAGUGUUUGGAGGGUUUCCGCCCUUCAGUGCUGCAGCUAACGCAUUAAGCACUCCGCCUGGGGGAGUACGACCGCCAAGGUUGAAACUCAAAGGAAUUUGACGGGGGGCCCGCACAAGCCGGGGGAGCAUGGGGGUUUAAUUCGAAACAACCCAAAAAACCUUUACCAGGGCUUUGGCUUCCUUUUGGCCCCCUCUUGGGGGUUGAGGCUUCCCCCUUCCGGGG
rnacentral:rRNA from 1 species